CAGCAUCCUCUGAUAGACCAUGAGCACUUGUCCUGUUGCUCCCUGGUUUGCACUAAGAUGCAAAAAUAACCUUCCUUGCGCUUUCUGCCUGCCUGACUGUGGCAGCCCAGAUUGAAUAAGGGAAUACACAA
ensembl:snoRNA